GAAGACGACAGUCGUGUCACGUUAUUCUCAUGUUAUAGUUGCGUUACUUUGGUAUCCCUUGGGGCGAAUUUUCCAACAAAUUUGGGUGCAGUUCUCUACCAAUUCUAGAAAGUUCCUAUUAGUUGCUGUUGCCCGUGCCAGCAACACACACGUAUGUGACAAUUACGCUACUGGCGCUAGUUGAGUUUUCAACCAACACUCUCAGUCAAUAAUCCCUUAGUGAGUGUGUGUGUCCUUCAUUUUCAAUCUCGUCCAAACGGUUUGGCUGAAACAUCAUCCGGAUCGGUUGUUAGAGGCUAUUGAAUGUUAAAGUUUAUUUUGUCCUACCGUCUUUCAACAGUUGUUUAAAAGUGCCGGGACCAACUUUCUUUACUGUACAACGUGCUGUCCUUCCGGUGGUGCUGUCCAUUCGCCCAACAAAACGAACGAAAUUUCUUGUUCUUCAGCUGCAACACUAUCUGAAAAAUGCCGACCGUUUUGAUUUGGAAACCUGUAGAUGGACAUCCAUACGGACACGCCGCCCUUCAAACGGACAAGUACCACAUCAGUAUGUGGCCAUUGAAAGACGGACGUGUUCGAUACUCUGAUGUAUGGAUAAUUGGCCGCCUCGUCAAUUUGUGGCCAUUUCG